GGCAUACAGCAACCAAAUCUCCCAAAUUCUCCUUCCUUAACUUCCUUAACAGUGCUUACAAAUCCCUAAAAUGGAAACCAGCCCAUUUGCUGUGUUUAAUCUGCUUCAUUUGGCAGGUUAGCUUACUUUCCAGCAGAAGAAUAGAUCUCACUUUCCUAAAAACAGGAAAGAAAUUUGCUCUUCUAUUGCUGCUCACGGUUGUGUGUGUCAGAUUGUAUUCCUCUUGUUCAUGAUGAGUAGGAUUCUACCGCACAAGCAGGACCCAAUGAAGUCAAUAGGAUUCUUUGAGGAAUUAAUGUACUGGGUAAUGUCACUUGUCACUACUCAUUAGUCCUUGCUAACACCUGUAACUUACCAGUGGGGACCAAGCAAAUUCUUUGCAAAGAGCAGUGUUCUGCAAUCAUUGGAAAACAAAGAUCAAGGAAAGGACAAACCUAAAGCUGAUUCUUCUGUCUUGUUAUAUGAUGAGUUGACAUGGCACCACAAACAACAGGUUUUAAAAAGUGAGAAGAUCUGCAGUAGAAUGAGCAUGUGGAGUCCUGCUAAAAAUAAAUUUAAUUGCUAAAGGUUGUAUUCUGUAUAGAACUUCCAUAGCACCUGUGUGAAUACCUAUUAAAAAAAUCCAAC